GGUGUCAACCCUGGCAGCGGCCUUUUGCAAGUGUGAGUUGAGAAACGCGUGGCGUGUUUAGCUUGAUAAUUGUACAAAUAAUUCUCUAUAAUGUGGAAGAUGUCCGAUGUAUUCCCAAGACCCAAGACCCAAGAAAAUGCCGCUAGCGGCAUCAGUGCUAGCCAUCGAAGCGAACCCAAUCACGCUCCCCAGCGUGUGGAGGUGUCCGGAGGCAGCAGGCCGGACGAGACUCCCACGGAGGCACAGCAACUGUCGACCUUUGUGGCCGCGAGCGAUCACCACGUCGAAGGAGUGGUGCUCUGCGUUUUAAUCUCGGAGACCGUCAGCCUGAUGGCCGUUAGCAAGGCCGACAGUCUGGUGCACGUGUUCGGGCUAAGGCUCUAUUCGGCCGGAGCGGACGCUGACUGGAUCGCUGACGGCGGGUUCAACCUCGUCGGGCACGAAGUGCCGGCCACCCACGGCGCCUUUUCCGACAACCGGCCGUACAUAGUGACCUGGGCGCCGGAUCUGAAGCUGCGGCUGUGGAAUCUGAGCUCCCGGAACUGCACGGGGAUCUUUGUGAACACCCACAGCCACGUCAGCCGCAUUUUGUUUGAGGCCCAUGGCCUCUUCUUCGCCAGCAUCGAUGAACUGGGCUAUGCCUUCAUCUGGAUGAUAGACGAAUUGCGCUCCAGCAACAAGUUGCGUUACGUGGACAAAAACUACUACUCGCAGCCGCUGACGGCCUGCGGAUUUCACCCGAAGAUAACCUACCUGGUCACUGGCUCUACUGACGGCACGGUCCGCAUGUGGAACAUGGCCAAAGGAACCACUGCGGUGCGCACCUUUCUGGGCCACAAAACCACCAUCACCGCCGUGGCCUUCUCGAUCUGCGGUUCCUACUUGGUCGCAGGUGCCACCGACGGUCUGCUCAUUGUCUGGAAUGUGAAGAGUCAGGUGCUGCUGCGCCGCCUGGGCCACCAUUCGGGAGCAAUCACCUCGAUUGGCUUCUCCCCGAACAACGGCCGUUUGGCGGUGGGGAGCAUGGACACCCAGAUGAGCGUGUGGGACUUUGAGCUCCUCGUGCGGAUCACGGUCGCGGGCCGGGCCUCUGUCACGGAGGACAUGCUAGUGGGCACGCGAGCCAGCGAGUGCGGACCCAUCUUCGCGGUGCGCUUCGUCAGCGACUCCCACUUGAUGUCAAUCUGCGUGGAAAAGCGCGAGGCGAGCGCGGAGCCCGAAGAAGAUUUGUCCCUGUUCUUUGAGGACAUGGAGGCUGAGGAGUCGGAGCUGGAGCCAAAGGAAGACGAAUAGAAACGAAGAGACUUCUGAAUAUCUCUUAAGAUGUUAUUAGUAACCAAUAGCUUGAAGCCCCGAAACCACCGAAAGUGAAUCUCAAAUCAAUUUAUAGCCACUUCCAAGCUCCCCAAUAGCGUAAUAUUUUGUGUAAUAAAUGGAGGAAAAGUCGUGGAUAUUGAACCAUUUACGGGUAUAUGCAGUGCCCCCCUUGGCCCCUGGGCGAGAGGCGAGAGCGAGCCCCACCUUAUCGGGGCGCUGCAGCUCGCAAACUUUGUUCAAUUUAAUUCAAUUCAAUUCCUGGAGAGGAGUUCACCCGUA